UGAAAAGUUGAGACGCCACUUACCCGCCGCACCUUGUGUGAGCGUCACUCAAUUAAUUACAAUGUCUUGCUGGGUUCGUGUGGUCAGCACGCUGGUGUUCACUGCAAUUUAUAUCAACGCGGAAGUUACAAUGAAUCAACCACCUUCGAAAUCCACAUCUCCGGGGCAGACCGUCCAAAUACCCUGCAACUUGUCUGGAACCUCUUUAGGAAGUAGCAGAGUUUCCUGGUACCAGCAGAUCCCCGGAAAAGUUCCUCGGUAUCUGUUCUACUAUUAUUCGGGGAGCAGCAUUAACAGAGGUUCCGGAGUUCCGAACCGUUUCGGCGGCUCAAUAUCCGGCAACACGGCAACAUUGACAAUAUCGAGCGUCCAGUUGGAGGAUGCGGCAGACUAUUACUGUGCUGUCUGGAAAGAUGCUUUAAUCUUCGGGAAAGGAACGAGGCUGGGAGUUGGCAGUAAGUAA